CGUCCCUCACCUGGGAGCACCAGAGGAGUAGCACGUGCCACUUGCCACCUCCUGCUCCUGAACCUCCUCCUGGGGCACUGUGAGGGUUCAAACUGUCCCUGGAAAGGUCCCAGGUCAGCUGCCCACUCCUGACUCAUCCCGAAGAGUCCCCCAGUUCCUCCAGCCUGCUCUACUGGCCCCCCAUUCCUCCAGCUUGCUCUACUGGCCCCCCA
rnacentral:lncRNA from 1 species